AUUGAACGCUGGCGGCGUGCCUUACACAUGCAAGUCGAACGGCAGCAUGAUCUAGCUUGCUAGAUUGAUGGCGAGUGGCGAACGGGUGAGUAAUACAUCGGAACGUGCCCUGUAGUGGGGGAUAACUAGUCGAAAGAUUAGCUAAUACCGCAUACGACCUGAGGGUGAAAGUGGGGGACCGCAAGGCCUCAUGCUAUAGGAGCGGCCGAUGUCUGAUUAGCUAGUUGGUGAGGUAAAGGCUCACCAAGGCGACGAUCAGUAGCUGGUCUGGUAGGACGAUCAGCCACACUGGGACUGAGACACGGCCCAGACUCCUACGGGAGGCAGCAGUGGGGAAUUUUGGACAAUGGGGGCAACCCUGAUCCAGCAAUGCCGCGUGUGUGAAGAAGGCCUUCGGGUUGUAAAGCACUUUUGUCCGGAAAGAAAUCGCACUUACUAAUAUUAGGUGUGGAUGACGGUACCGGAAGAAUAAGGACCGGCUAACUACGUGCCAGCCGCCGCCGUAACAC
rnacentral:rRNA from 1 species